rnacentral:ncRNA from 1 species
CUAAGGAGACUGCCGGUGACAAACCGGAGGAAGGUGGGGAUGACGUCAAAUCAUCAUGCCCCUUAUGACCUGGGCUACACACGUGCUACAAUGGAUAGAACAAAGGGCAGCGAAGCCGCGAGGUGAAGCCAAUCCCAUAAAUCUAUUCUCAGUUCGGAUUGCAGGCUGCAACUCGCCUGCAUGAAGCCGGAAUCACUAGUAAUCGCGGAUCAGCAUGCCGCGGUGAAUACGUUCCCGGGCCUUGUACACACCGCCCGUCACACCACGAGAGUUUGUAACACCCGAAGUCGGUGGGGUAACCUUUUGGAGCCAGCCGCCUAAGGUGGGACAGAUGAUUGGGGUGAAGUCGUAACAAGGUAGCCGUAUCGGAAGGUGCGGCUGGAUCACCUCCUUU